GAGCUUUCCCCUUCGGGGGACAAAGUGACAGGUGGUGCAUGGUUGUCGUCAGCUCGUGUCGUGAGAUGUUGGGUUAAGUCCCGCAACGAGCGCAACCCUUAAGCUUAGUUGCCAUCAUUAAGUUGGGCACUCUAAGUUGACUGCCGGUGACAAACCGGAGGAAGGUGGGGAUGACGUCAAAUCAUCAUGCCCCUUAUGAUUUGGGCUACACACGUGCUACAAUGGACAAUACAAAGGGCAGCGAAACCGCGAGGUCAAGCAAAUCCCAUAAAGUUGUUCUCAGUUCGGAUUGUAGUCUGCAACUCGACUACAUGAAGCUGGAAUCGCUAGUAAUCGUAGAUCAGCAUGCUACGGUGAAUACGUUCCCGGGUCUUGUACACACCGCCCGUCACACCACGAGAGUUUGUAACACCCGAAGCCGGUGGAGUAACCUUUUAGGAGCUAGCCGUCGAAGGUGGGACAAAUGAUUGGGGUGAAGUCGUAACAAGGUAGCCGUAUCGGAAGGUGCGGCUGGAUCACCUCCUUU
rnacentral:rRNA from 1 species